GUGAACCUGCUGAUGGAUCACUA
rnacentral:rRNA from 1 species